UGGGGAAUUUUGGACAAUGGGCGAAAGCCUGAUCCAGCAAUGCCGCGUGUGUGAAGAAGGCCUUCGGGUUGUAAAGCACUUUUGUCCGGAAAGAAAUCCUUGGCUCUAAUACAGUCGGGGGAUGACGGUACCGGAAGAAUAAGCACCGGCUAACUACGUGCCAGCAGCCGCGGUAAUACGUAGGGUGCAAGCGUUAAUCGGAAUUACUGGGCGUAAAGCGUGCGCAGGCGGUUUGCUAAGACCGAUGUGAAAUCCCCGGGCUCAACCUGGGAACUGCAUUGGUGACUGGCAGGCUAGAGUAUGGCAGAGGGGGGUAGAAUUCCACGUGUAGCAGUGAAAUGCGUAGAGAUGUGGAGGAAUACCGAUGGCGAAGGCAGCCCCCUGGGCCAAUACUGACGCUCAUGCACGAAAGCGUGGGGAGCAAACAGGAUUAGAUACCCUGGUAGUCCACGCCCUAAACGAUGUCAACUAGUUGUUGGGGAUUCAUUUCCUUAGUAACGUAGCUAACGCGUGAAGUUGACCGCCUGGGGAGUACGGUCGCAAGAUUAAAACUUAAGGGAAUUGACGGGGUCAUAGCUGUUUCCU
rnacentral:rRNA from 1 species